rnacentral:rRNA from 1 species
UCCACAAUGGGCGAAAGCCUGAUGGAGCAACGCCGCGUGUUNNAUGAAGGCUUUCGGGUCGUAAAGCACUGUUGUAUGGAAGAACAGCUAGAAUAGGAAAUGAUUUUAGUUUGACGGUACCAUACCAGAAAGGGACGGCUAAAUACGUGCCAGCAGCCGCGGUAAUACGUAUGUCCCGAGCGUUAUCCGGAUUUAUUGGGCGUAAAGCGAGCGCAGACGGUUUAUUAAGUCUGAUGUGAAAGCCCGGAGCUCAACUCCGGAAUGGCAUUGGAAACUGGUUAACUUGAGUGCAGUAGAGGUAAGUGGAACUCCAUGUGUAGCGGUGGAAUGCGUAGAUAUAUGGAAGAACACCAGUGGCGAAGGCGGCUUACUGGACUGCAACUGACGUUGAGGCUCGAAAGUGUGGGUAGCAAACAGGAUUAGAUACCCUGGUAGUCCACACCGUAAACGAUGAACACUAGGUGUUAGGAGGUUUCCGCCUCUUAGUGCCGAAGCUAACGCAUUAAGUGUUCCGCCUGGGGAGUACGACCGCAAGGUUGAAACUCAAAGGAAUUGACGGGGACCCGCACAAGCGGUGGAGCAUGUGGUUUAAUUCGAAGCAACGCGAAGAACCUUACCAGGUCUUGACAUCCUUUGAAGCUUUUAGAGAUAGAAGUGUUCUCUUCGGAGACAAAGUGACAGGUGGUGCAUGGUCGUCGUCAGCUCGUGUCGUGAGAUGUUGGGUUAAGUCCCGCAACGAGCGCAACCCUUAUUGUUAGUUGCCAGCAUUCAGAUGGGCACUCUAGCGAGACUGCCGGUGACAAACCGGAGGAAGGCGGGGACGACGUCAGAUCAUCAUGCCCCUUAUGACCUGGGCUACACACGUGCUACAAUGGCGUAUACAACGAGUUGCCAGCCCGCGAGGGUGAGCUAAUCUCUUAAAGUACGUCUCAGUUCGGAUUGUAGUCUGCAACUCGACUACAUGAAGUCGGAAUCGCUAGUAAUCGCGGAUCAGCACGCCGCGGUGAAUACGUUCCCGGGUCUUGUACACACCGCCCGUCACACCAUGGGAGUUUGUAAUGCCCAAAGCCGGUGGCCUAACCUUUUAGGAAGNAGCC